CCUCCGUCCGCCGCGCGCAGGACCGGGCUGCAGCCGGGCCGCGCUCUUUGGUUCCGGGGGCCGCCUCGCCCGGGCUGCAGCUCAGUUUUUGGGGUGGAUUCCAGCAGAUCGGGAGCGCUCACGUUCUCCAGUGAACGAGGAAUAUUGCAGCAAAAGAGGCUCCUGUAUAACCAAGCCAUGCAAGAAAUGGGGAAGGGACAGAGCAGGUCUGACUGUCAGAAGUGAAGAAUUUUUUUGUUGGACACAGUGGAUGCCUGGAAGCUGAGAGGCAAGGAGAGAGAGGGAAACGUUCAAGGUGACUUCGGCGUUGUCGUAGUGAGAGCUCAGGUCCAGGUCCUCGUGCAGGGAGUACUUGACCACGAAGGCUUUGUGGCUGUCCAGGCAGGCUCCGCCCAGCUCCGGGUACAGCAGCG